GAGGGAUCCCUGCCUUUGCAGGUUUGGGGGUGCCCGGAGGAGGUGUUGGUGGGGUUCCUGCUGAUGCCCAGGCUAGAACUGAAGCCGGCGGGUCAGUUUCCCGGAGCCGGCGAGCGUUCGUGCUCAAGGGAAGAAAAUUUGAAGAAAAUAGGAUAAAAGUAUGAAGAAAGGAAAAUCACCCAUAUCUCACCAUCCAGAGGAGUGCCCAAGUGCCAUCGAACUGGGUCAGUGAGGACAGUAAGGAGUCCUGGAUGCUGGGUCUUACCCACACAGGGGAGAGCAAGAAGG